UAAAAGAAAAGGGUGAAAAGAACAAAGUUUUGUCCAUCUUUGUUCAUCAUAGCUGAAAGUUAGAGAAGAGAAAGGAGAGGAGAAAGCUCUUGAGUAUUCGGUCAUUAGGAGGAGGAAAAUUGAAGGAAAUCCCCAACCAUAGUGGGCUUGGAGCUGUGAGGGAAUUCGGAGUGGCCACCCGUUCUGAAAGUUUGAUUUUCUUCUGGUGAACUGGACAUCCUUUUAAUUACGUUUGAGGUUUUGGGCUUUUAAAUGUAAUAAGGCCGCUUAUUUAUUUUUGAUGGUUUUAAUAUGUAUUACUAAGAUAGGUAUUACUUAUUUUAACUGUUGAAACUGGAUAGCUUUAGGGCGCGUUUUCAAAAACAACAGUUGAUUUCAAAAUAACACGACAACAAGCAAAGCUUCCGCAAUGAAA